ACGCCUUAUACAUGCAAGUCGAACGAAGUAGCAAUACUUAGUGGCAGACGGGUGAGUAACAUGUAGGUAUCUGCCCUUUGGCCUGGAAUAACACGAGGAAACUUGUGCUAAUACCGGAUAAGUCUUUACGGAGAAAGCUUUAUGCACCAUUGGAUGAGCCUGCACUUGAUUAGUUUGUUGGUGGGGUAAUGGCCUACCAAGACAAUGAUCAAUAGCUGAUUUGAGAGGAUGAUCAGCCACAUUGGAACUGAGACACGGUCCAAACUCCUACGGGAGGCAGCAGUAGGGAAUCUUGCACAAUGGAGGAAACUCUGAUGCAGCGAUGCCGCGUGAGUGAAGAAGGCCUUUGGGUUGUAAAGCUCUUUCGUCGGGGAAGAAAAUGACUGUACCCGAAUAAGAAGGUCCGGCUAACUUCGUGCCAGCAGCCGCGGUAAUACGAAGGGACCUAGCGUAGUUCGGAAUUACUGGGCUUAAAGAGUUCGUAGGUGGUUAAAAAAGUUGGUGGUGAAAUCCCAGAGCUUAACUCUGGAACUGCCAUCAAAACUUUUUAGCUAGAGUAUGAUAGAGGAAAGCAGAAUUUCUAGUGUAGAGGUGAAAUUCGUAGAUAUUAGAAAGAAUACCGAUUGCGAAGGCAGCUUUCUGGAUCAUUACUGACACUGAGGAACGAAAGCAUGGGUAGCGAAGAGGAUUAGAUACCCUCGUAGUCCAUGCCGUAAACGAUGUGUGUUAGACGUUGGAAAUUUAUUUUCAGUGUCGCAGCGAAAGCAAUAAACACACCGCCUGGGGAGUACGACC
rnacentral:rRNA from 1 species